rnacentral:rRNA from 1 species
GUGGUCAAGCUAAUAAGGGCUCAUGGUGGAUACCUAGGCACACAGAGGCGAAGAAGGACGUGGUUACCUGCGAAAAGUUCCGGGGAGUUGGAAGCAAACAGAGAGCCGGAAAUAUCCGAAUGGGGCAACCCUGAACACUGCCUGUUGAAUAUAUAGACAGGAAAGAGCGAACCUGGCGAAUUGAAACAUCUUAGUAGCCAGAGGAAAAGAAAUCAAAAGAGAUUCCCCGAGUAGUGGUGAGCGAAAGGGGAAGAGCCUAAACCAAGGGGUAUACCUCUUGGGGUAGUGGGACAGCAACAUCGAAUCUAGAGACUAGACGAAGCAGCUAAAUACUGCACCAGAGGGGGUGAAAGUCCUGUAGUCGAAAGUCAAAGGAUAGAAGCUGAAUCCCGAGUAGUACGGGGCACGAGAAAUCCCGUAUGAAUCAGCGAGGACCAUCUCGUAAGGCUAAAUACUACUGUGUGACCGAUAGAGAACAAGUACCGCGAGGGAAAGGUGAAAAGAACCCCGGGAGGGGAGUGAAAAAGAACAUGAAACCGUGAGCUUACAAGCAGUGGGAGUCCGAUUAAACGGAUGACCGCGUGCCUGUUGAAGAAUGAGCCGGCGACUUAUAGGUACUGGUAGGUUAAAGCGGGAAUGCUGGAGCCAAAGGGAAACCGAGUCUGAAAAGGGCGCUAAUCAGUAUUUAUAGACCCGAACCCUGGUGAUCUAACCAUGGCCAGGAUGAAGCUUGGGUAAAACCAAGUGGAGGUCCGAACCGACCGAUGUUGAAAAAUCGGCGGAUGAGCGGUGGUUAGGGGUGAAAUGCCAAUCGAACCAGGAGCUAGCUGGUUCUCCCCGAAAUGUGUUGAGGCGCAGCGGUAAUGAAAAAAUUGGGGGGUAAAGCACUGUUUCGGUGCGGGCUGGGAGACCGGUACCAAAUCGAGGCAAACUAAGAAUACCCAAGGAGCACAUUGCCAGUGAGACGGUGGGGGAUAAGCUUCAUCGUCAAGAGGGAAACAGCCCAGACCACCAGCUAAGGUCCCCAAAUCAUCACUAAGUGAAAAAGGAGGUGGGGUUGCAAAGACAACUAGGAGGUUUGCCUAGAAGCAGCCACCCUUGAAAGAGUGCGUAAUAGCUCACUAGUCAAGCGAUCCUGCGCCGAAAAUGAAAGGGGCUAAGUGAUGUACCGAAGCUGUGGGAUUAGAAAUAAUCGGUAGGGGAGCGUUCCGUAGUAGUGAGAAGCAGUAGCGGCAAGCAGCUGUGGACGAGACGGAAGUGAGAAUGUCGGCUUGAGUAGCGCAAACAUUGGUGAGAAUCCAAUGCCCCGAAACCCUAAGGGUUCCAGAGGCAGGUUCGUCCACUCUGGGUUAGUCGGGACCUAAGGCGAGGUCGAAAGGCGUAGUCGAUGGAGACCGGGUCAACAAUCCCGGACUACAAUAUGGGAGCAGAACUAGGGACGCAUGAAAGAUAGCCACGCCCUGAAUGGAUUGGGAAGACCGUUACGACGGUCGAGUGGUGAAGGAAAGUGCCAAGAAAAGCUAGGGUUGUGAUGAACAUAUAGUACCCGUACCCGAAACCGACACAGGUAGGGAGGUUGAGAAUACCAAGGGGCGCGAGAUAACUCUCUCUAAGGAACUCGGCAAAAUGGCCCCGUAACUUAGGAAGAAGGGGUGCCUGCCGAAAGGCAGGUCGCAGUGAAGAGAUCCAGGCGACUGUUUACCAAAAACACAGGUCUCCGCCAACUCGAAAGAGGACGUAUGGGGGCUGACGCCUGCCCAGUGCCGGAAGGUUAAGGAAGUUGGUCAGUGGAAACAUGAAGCUGACGACCGAAGCCCCGGUGAACGGCGGCCGUAACUAUAACGGUCCUAAGGUAGCGAAAUUCCUUGUCGGGUAAGUUCCGACCCGCACGAAAGGCGUAACGAUCUGGAUGGUGUCUCAGAGAGAGACUCGGCGAAAUAGGAAUGUCUGUGAAGAUACGGACUACCUGCACCUGGACAGAAAGACCCUAUGAAGCUUUACUGUAGCCUGGAAUUGUGUUCGGGCUUGGCUUGCGCAGGAUAGGUGGGAAGCGAAGAACUUCUCCUUGAGGGGGGAAGGGAGCUAACGGUGAGAUACCACUCUGGCGAAGCUAGAAUUCUAACUAAUCACCGUAAGCCGGUGAGAGGAAAGUUUCAGGUGGGCAGUUUGACUGGGGCGGUCGCCUCCUAAAAGGUAACGGAGGCGCGCAAAGGUUCUCUCAGCACGCUUGGAAACCGUGCGACGAGUGUAAAGGCAAAAAGAGAGCUUGACUGCAAGACCAACAAGUCGAGCAGGGACGAAAGUCGGCCUUAGUGAUCCGACGGCGCAGCAUGGAAUGGCCGUCGCUCAACGGAUAAAAGUUACUCUAGGGAUAACAGGCUGAUCUCCCCCAAGAGUCCACAUCGACGGGGAGGUUUGGCACCUCGAUGUCGGCUCAUCGCAACCUGGGGCGGAAGUACGUCCCAAGGGUUGGGCUGUUCGCCCAUUAAAGCGGUACGUGAGCUGGGUUCAGAACGUCGUGAGACAGUUCGGUCCAUAUCCGGUGCAGGCGAAAGAACAUUGAGAGGAGUCCUCCUUAGUACGAGAGGACCGGGAGGAACGAACCGCUGGUGUACCAGUUAUUCCGCCAGGAGUAGACGCUGGGUAGCCAAGUUCGGAGAGGAUAACCGCUGAAAGCAUCUAAGUGGGAAGCCCACCUUAAGAUGAGUGUUCUCACUACGAGAGUAGGUAAGGUCACGGGGAGAACACCCGUUGAUAGGCUUUAUGUGGAAGUACAGUAAUGUAUGUAGCAGAGAAGUCCUAACAGACCGAGGGCUUGACCUCAAA